rnacentral:rRNA from 1 species
AGCGAACGUUAGCGGCGCGCCUAACACAUGCAAGUCGCACGAGAAACGGAGCAAUCCGCGGUACAGUGGCGCACGGGUGAGUAACACGUGGAUGACCUUCCCUGGAGUGGUGGAUAACCUGCCGAAAGGCGGGCUAAUACAGCAUGGGACCACGACGCUUUGGCGAUGUGGUGAAAGCGGGCCUCUAUAUAUAAGCUCGCGCUCCGGGACGGGUCCGCGUCCCAUCAGCUAGUUGGUGAGGUAACGGCUCACCAAGGCAACGACGGGUAGCUGGUCUGAGAGGAUGGCCAGCCACACUGGAACUGAGACACGGUCCAGACUCCUACGGGAGGCAGCAGUGGGGAAUCUUGCGCAAUGGGCGAAAGCCUGACGCAGCGACGCCGCGUGGGCGAAGAAGGCC